rnacentral:rRNA from 1 species
UUGAAUGCAAGCCAUGCCGCGUGUAUGAAGAAGGCCUUCGGGUUGUAAAGUACUUUCAGCGAGGAGGAAGGGAGUAAAGUUAAUACCUUUGCUCAUUGACGUUACCCGCAGAAGAAGCACCGGCUAACUCCGUGCCAGCAGCCGCGGUAAUACGGAGGGUGCAAGCGUUAAUCGCGAAUUACUGGGCGUAAAGCGCACGCAGGCGGUUUGUUAAGUCAGAUGUGAAAUCCCCGGGCUCAACCUGGGAACUGCAUCUGAUACUGGCAAGCUUGAGUCUCGUAGAGAGGGGUAGAAUUCCAGGUGUAGCGGUGAAAUGCGUAGAGAUCUGGAGGAAUACCGGUGGCGAAGGCGGCCCCCUGGACGAAGACUGACGCUCAGGUGCGAAAGCGUGGGGAGCAAACAGGAUUAGAUACCCC